AAAAGCCGGACUCUUCCGGUGAAGCGGAGGUGUGGUGGGGCUUGCUGGGAUCAUGGCGGGGAAUCACUGCGAGCUCCUGCCGCUGGCCCGUGGCAGGCUCGGGGCGGGGUUGGGGUGGCUUCUUGUGCCUCCCUUAAAGCGCGGGGCUCAGCGUCCUGGCCCAGCGCCCCAGCAGCAGGUCCAAGUGGGUCCGGCUCUACAGCGGCGGCACCUACUUCCUCACCACUGGGCAGACGCCGCUGUGUCAGGACCCGAAAUCCUUCCUGUACCUCUUGAGCCAGGCCGACCCCGACCCGGACUCGGACAAGGAUGAAACAGGCGCCUAUUUAAUCGACAGAGACCCCACCUACUUUGGGCCUGUGCUGAACUACCUGAGACACGGCAAGCUGGUGAUUAACAAAGACCUCGCGGAGGAAG
rnacentral:lncRNA from 1 species